GUGUUGCUGCUGCUGCUGCUGUUGCUGGCCAGCAGCAGUUCUACGGAGCCACGGGCUUUGGCUUGCAUCAACAACAACAGCAGCAUCAGCAGCAGCAUCAGCAGCAGCAACUCCAGCAGCAGCAGCAGCAGCAGCAGCUA
rnacentral:sRNA from 1 species